AACAUGUAAGUUAUUUUGUAGUAUUUAUGCUACUGAGCACCCGUUCAUCCAUUGCAUUUUGUGCUGUGGUUAGAUAGGGAGAUCAAAUCGGCAUUGAAUUGUGCCAAGAAAUAUGAAUAUUGUGAGCAUUAAUUGCAUUCUCUCGAAGAGUAUGACUUUAGGGAGGGAUGUUCUUUGCUCCAUUCUAUUUUUUAUGACUCUUGACAAUGGAUAUCUUGGCUCUUGCAUCGAUGAAGAGCGUAGCGAAAUGCGAUACAUGGUGCGAAUUGCAGAAUCCCGUGAACCAUCGAGUUUUUGAAUGCAAGUUGCGCCUGAGGCCUAGCAGGCCAAAGGCACGUCUGCCUGGGAAUCAAGCAAUUCAUCGCUCUGCAUCAUCAAAUUACCAAAAAAUGAUAUUUUACAGAUGCGGAUAUUGGCCUGUUGUGUGGCACAGCAGGAUCAAGAUUGGCUUGAUUUUCACUUGAUAAUUAUCGAUAAUUGGGUGGUGGGCUCUGUUGCACAACCUUUAUAAUCGUAUGAUUGUCUAGUGAUAGAUUGUAGAAAAACUUCUUUAUGUGUUGUUGGUGGCAUGUAGAAAUGUGACCCCAGGAUAGGCGGGGUAACCUGCUGAGUUUAAGCAUAUAA
rnacentral:rRNA from 1 species